rnacentral:misc_RNA from 1 species
CGCACAUUGCGCCCCUUGGUAUUCCGUGGGGCAUGCCUGUUCGAGCGUCAUCUACACCCUCAGCAUUGCUUGGUGUUGGGCGUCUGUCCCGCCUCCGCGCGGCGACUCGCCCCAAAGGCAUUGGCAGCGGUCUCUUGCACCUCUCGCGCAGCACAUUGCGCUUCUCGAGGCGAGGCAGGCCGCGACCACGAAGCUUUUAUUCGUCUUUGACCUCGGAUCAGGUAGGGAUACCCGCUGAACUUAA